rnacentral:rRNA from 1 species
AUGUGGUAUCUCCGUAGGGGAAUUGUGCUAACAAAAGACAACCUCGCACGACGCAACUGGUCGGGAAGUAAGAAGUGUUGUUUUUGUACUCAUGACGAGACAAUUAAACACCUCUUUUUUCACUGUAAGUUUGCGCGUUCUACGUGGUCAGCCAUCCAAAUAGCGUCAAAUUUGUAUCCACCCACAAGUGUUGUCAAUAUUUUUGGUCAUUGGCUGGACGGUAUUUCAAAUGCAUACAAAACGCUAAUAAGGGUGGGAGCGUAUGCCUUAUUAUGGUCGCUUUGGCUAUGUAGAAAUAAUGUUGUUUUUAAUGACAAAACUGUUUCUCCUUUGCAGGUUAUUUUCCGUUGUACGCACUCGCUUCGUACGUGGUGUACGCUACAACGAGCGGAGUACCAACCGCUAUUCAAGGCGGUGUGUACGCUGUUGGAGCAGGUGGCUACGGAGGUUUUUAGCCAACAUGGAUGGCAGCAUAAUCUCCGGCUCGGUCCACCAUCUCUUUCGACAUAG